AUUGAACGCUGGCGGCAGGCUUAACACAUGCAAGUCGAGCGGAGUGAUGGUGCUUGCACUAUCACUUAGCGGCGGACGGGUGAGUAAUGCUUAGGAAUCUGCCUAUUAGUGGGGGACAACAUCUCGAAAGGGAUGCUAAUACCGCAUACGUCCUACGGGAGAAAGCAGGGGAUCACUUGUGACCUUGCGCUAAUAGAUGAGCCUAAGUCGGAUUAGCUAGUUGGUGGGGUAAAGGCCUACCAAGGCGACGAUCUGUAGCGGGUCUGAGAGGAUGAUCCGCCACACGGGGACGUGGACACGGCCCAGACGCCUACGGGAGGCAGCAGUGGGGAAUAUUGGACAAUUGGGGGAACCCUGAUCCAGCCAUGCCGCGUGUGUGAAGAAGGCCUUAUGGUUGUAAAGAACUUUAAGCGAGGAGGAGGCUCUUUUGGUUAAUACCCAAGAUGAGUGGACGUUACUCGCAGAAUAAGCACCGGCUAACUCUGUGCCAGCAGCCGCCGUAA
rnacentral:rRNA from 1 species